AACGAACGCUGGCGGCGCGCCUAACACAUGCAAGUCGAGCGAUUAAAGCUCCUUCGGGAGUAUAUAAAGCGGCGGACGGGUGAGUAAGGCAUAGACAACCUGCCCUAAAGAGGGGGAUAGCUUGGAGAAAUUCGGGUUAAUACCGCGUAGCUGUUUGAGUGAAUAUCAACCAGUAAAGGCUUCGGCCGCUUUGGGAUGGGUCUAUGUUAGAUUAGAUAGUUGGUGGGGUAACGGCCUACCAAGUCGACGAUCUAUAACUGGUCUGAGAGGAUGAUCAGUCACACUGGAACUGAGACACGGUCCAGACUCCUACGGGAGGCAGCAGUGAGGAAUUUUGCGCAAUGGGCGAAAGCCUGACGCAGCGACGCCGCGUGGAGGACGAAGUCUCUCGAGAUGUAAACUCCUGUCAGUGGGGAUGAUAAUGACAGUACCCACAGAGGAAGCACCGGCUAACUCCGUGCCAGCAGCCGCGGUAAGACGGAGGGUGCAAGCGUUGUUCGGAUUUACUGGGCGUAAAGCGUACGUAGGCGGCGAUUUAAGUCAGUGGUGAAAUCUUGCCGCUUAACGGUAAAAUUGCCAUUGAUACUGAAGUUCUUGAAUAUGGUUGAGGUAGGCGGAAUGUGUUGUGUAGCGGUGAAAUGCAUAGAUAUGACACAGAACGCCGAUUGCGAAGGCAGCUUACUAAGCCAUUAUUGACGCUGAGGCACGGAAAGCGUGGGGAGCGAACAGGAUUAGAUACCCUGGUAGUCCACGCCGUAAACGAUGUUCACUCGCUGUCUGCGAUACACAGUAGGCGGCUAAGCGAAAGCAUUAAGUGAACCACCUGGGGAGUACGAUCGCAAGGUUGAAACUCAAAGGAAUUGACGGGGGCCCGCAUAAGCGGAGGAACAUGUGGUUUAAUUCGAUGAUACGCGAGGAACCUUACCUGGGCUUAAAUGUAGAUUAUAAACGGGAAACUGUUUUUCCCUUCGGGACUCUUUACAAGGUGCUGCAUGGUUGUCGUCAGCUCGUGCCGUGAGGUGUCGGGUUAAGUCCCAUAACGAGCGCAACCCCUAUUUCUAGUUGCCAUCAGGUCAUGCUGGGGACUCUAGAGAGACUGCCAUCGUAAGAUGUGAGGAAGGUGGGGAUGACGUCAAAUCAGCACGGCCCUUAUGUCCAGGGCUACACACGUGUUACAAUGGUCUAUACAAAGGGCAGCUACUUGGUGACAAGAUGCUAAUCUCUAAAAUAGGCCUCAGUUCGGAUUGGAGUCUGCAAUUCGACUCCAUGAAGGCGGAUUCGCUAGUAAUCGGAUAUCAGCAAUGAUCCGGUGAAUACGUUCCCGGGCCUUGUACACACCGCCCGUCAAGCCAUGGAAGCUGGGGGUACCUGAAGUCUGCAACCGCAAGGAGCGGCCUAAGGUAAAACUGGUAACUGGUGUU
rnacentral:rRNA from 1 species